UACGUAGGUGGCGAGCGUUGUCCGGAAUUACUGGGUGUAAAGGGCGCGUAGGCGGGACUGCAAGUCAGAUGUGAAAUACCGGGGCUCAACCCCGGGGCUGCAUUUGAAACUGUAGUUCUUGAGUGCAGGAGAGGAAAGCGGAAUUCCUAGUGUAGCGGUGAAAUGCGUAGAGAUUAGGAGGAACACCAGUGGCGAAGGCGGCUUUCUGGACUGUAACUGACGCUGAGGCGCGAAAGCGUGGGGAGCGAACAGGAUUAGAUACCCUGGUAGUCCACGCCGUAAACGAUGGAUACUAGGUGUUGGGGGUAUCGACCCCCUCAGUGCCGGAGUUAACACAAUAAGUAUCCCACCUGGGGAGUACGGCCGCAAGGUUGAA
rnacentral:rRNA from 1 species